rnacentral:lncRNA from 1 species
GUACUCUUUAUAAGCACCUCGAUACCCCUUCUCCAUUGUAUCACAGUUACGAUUAGGGUUUCUAGCCGCAACUUCAUGUUUUCCCUUUGCUUUAAUCUCGCAUGUUCUUAACUUGUUUUCAAUCGAUUUUAAUUAGUUUUUCAAAUAAGAUUGAAUUUGAAAGGCGACGGUGACGAUUGUGAUUAGGUCUCGUUCGUCGUAAUGGCCAAUUGGCCUUGCCGACCAUCCUGUUAUAUCACCACCCAUAUUCUGAGUCCCUUAUUUUUUUCUUUCAAUUUAGGUUUUUCAUUUUUCUUUUAUUUGUUGAAAUUAUUAUUCAUUGUUAAGUUUGAAUUGGCCGAUGAUUAAAAUAAUUAAUAGACAAGCAUAUGUCUGAAUUAAUUCAUGUGGAAAAUUCUAAUCUUCUCUAUGAGGCCAUUAUUUAAAUUAUAAAUUCUUCGUACAUAGAUCUAGUUUUUUUUUUUUUCUUCCAAUGAUGAGAUCGAUGGAAAAUGUGUUAGGGUAUGAACAUUGAUGAUUUACUAUACCAUACUGCCUUCCUUCUGAGGAAUUUUAUAUUUUCAUUUUAUUUUGUUGUAAUAGUAUUAUUAAGUUCAACAUCUUUGAUUGGUUGGAGAGUCAUAUGAUGAUCAAUUGCAUAGUUCAAAUGAUCUAUUUAUGAUUAAACAGAAUCUUUAGUCUUUCGCUCCUAUCUGAUGACUUUCAUAUCAACCAAUCAAACAGUGAUAAAUUUGUAUUGUUGAAGUAGAUCUGUAUUUAUUUGCAAUUUUUUGGGGACUAUUCGUCUGCCCUGUAAGCAGUGUUUCUGAUUGCUUAUGGGAAGAAUGCGUCCCUUAUAUGCAAAUUAUCCAUCUGCUUCACUUUGUCAGCUCUGUUUUCUUAUAUUUUGCUGAUCAUUUUAGGAUGGAAAAGUAUAUCUCUUUGCUUUUACAUUAUUUAUUUAUAUAAUUAUAUAAUGUCGUCUGUGAUGAUAACAUUAAGGCUUGUUUCUCAAAACAUUCGCAGUGGCCGCCUAAGAACUUUCGCCUUCGCCAGGCUUGAGAGUUAAUGCUGCUUUAUCCUUCCUUGGAUGUCUGAGACU